UACGUAGGGCGCAAGCGUUAUCCGGAAUUAUUGGGCGUAAAGAGCUCGUAGGCGGUUUGUCGCGUCUGCCGUGAAAAUCCGGGGCUCAACUCCGGAUCUGCGGUGGGUACGGGCAGACUAGAGUGAUGUAGGGGAGACUGGAAUUCCUGGUGUAGCGGUGAAAUGCGCAGAUAUCAGGAGGAACACCGAUGGCGAAGGCAGGUCUCUGGGCAUUAACUGACGCUGAGGAGCGAAAGCAUGGGUAGCGAACAGG
rnacentral:rRNA from 1 species